UGCGUGGCAUCUUGGGCAAGUGUCUUCUGCUAUAGCCCCGGGCCGACCAAUGCCUUGUGAGUGGAUUUGGUAGACGGAAACUGAAAGAAGCCUGUCGUAUAUAUGUAUAUAUAUGUAUGUGUGUGUGUUUGUGUGUCUGUGUUUGUUCCCCUAGCAUUGCUUGACAACCGAUGCUGGUGUGUUUACGUCCCCGUCACUUAGCGGUUCGGCAAAAAGAGACCGAUAGAAUAAGUACUGGGCUUACAAAAAGAAUGAGUCCCGGGGUCGAGUUGCUCGACUAAAAGGCGGUGCUCCAGCAUGGCCGCAGUCAAAAUGACUGAAACAAGUAAAAGAAAGAAAGAAAGAAAGAAAAGUAGAUAGAUAGCUAGAUAGAUAGAUAGAUAGAUAGAUAGAUAGAUAGAUAGAUAGAUAGAUAGAUAGACAGGUGAUAGAUCGAUGGAUGAACAGUGAGAUAGAUUAUAUAUAUAUAUAUAUAUAUAUAUAUAUAUAUAUAUAUAUAUAUAUAUAUAUACAUAUAUAUAUGUAUGUGUGAGUGUGUGUAUAUGUAUAUACGUACGUGUGUGUGUGUCGAUUGCUAUUAGUUAUGCAUAAUCAUUAACCUGUAGCUGUAAUAGCGGACAAAUGAGGAGCAAAUCGCAGAACAUUAUAUUGCACAUAUACACAUGCAUGCACACAUGCAGAUGUAAACGCCUUUGCAUUCUCUUUGCGAAAAGUAACCGCAGCGUACAUGACGUGUUUGUAGAUUUGUGAGUAGUUCCGUUAGCGACGAUGAUUUUAAAGGCAGCAUGUUUCGGCAAACCGAAAGUUCUGUAUACUUUUCUGAGUCUUCUGAUGUAUCCCUAAGAGCGUUAAUUAAUUAUGAUGACACUAAUCUCUAUCAAAGAUUAUCUUAUAUCGUACGUGGCAUUGCUUUCAUUCCUGUGUUCAUUGAUGUCUAUUUUCAGACUUUUAUAAAGCACUUGAAGCUUGCGGCUAUUGCAUUUUCUCUGCUGAGUUUCUUAGCAGCUUUCUUCACCAGACUACAGCAUCACACAUUUUAUUGUAUUGAAACUUUCCUCAUAUGAGUCAAUGGUGAAUCCUCUAAAUCAAUGGUUCUCAACCAUAUGGCCCCUGAGGGUCCAUAUAAAGUUUUUGGAGAUUUACGUAACAUAAUAGUAAAUCGGGAUUCCACAAUUGUAUUUUAAGAGACCCUGAAAAUAUUUUGCUUUAGAUGUAUGUAUUAAUAUGUAUUGCAAGACCAGAAUUUUUUUUUUGACAUUUUACGUAGUUCAGUCUACACAAGGGAAUCAGUGAAAAAAAAACAAAUAGCAAUUUUGAAAGGAGUAUUUCAGAAACAAGUUUUUAAUCAUUGCAUAGCAAUGGGGUUCCACCAAAUUAAAAUAGUAAUCAAAGGGAUUCAUAGACAAAAAAAUCGUUGAGAGCCCUUGCUCUACAUGGUCACUUCAAUUAGUAAUUCAUUGCAUCAUAAUGUAACACUUGAAAAUACACGAACAUGCUGACUGCUAUAGUCCUAGUUAUAUUAUACAAGGUGGUGAGCUGGCAGAAACGUUAGCACGCCGGGCGAAAUGCGUAGCCGUAUUUCGUCAGCCGUUACGUUCUGAGUUCAAAUUCCGCCGAGUUCAACUUUGCCUUUCAUCCUUUCGGGGUCGAUAAAUUAAGUACCAUUUACGCACUGGCGUCGAUGUAAUCGACUUAAUUCGUGUGUCUGUCCUUGUUUGUCCCCUCUGUGUUUAGCCCGUUGUGGGUAGUAAAGAAAUAGGUAUUUCGUCUGUCUUUACGUUCUGAGUUCAAAUUCCGCCGGGGUCGACUCUGGCUUUCAUCGUUUCGGUGUCGAUAAAUUAAGAACCAGUUACGCACUGGCGUCGAUGUAAUCCGUGUGUCUAUCCCCUUGAUUGUCCCCUCUGUGUUUAGCCCCUUGUGGGUAGUAAAGAAAUAUAUAUUAUGCAGGGAGAAAAGAAAGAAGAAAUGAUCAAGACUGUGAUGCAUUUGAUCUUAGCUCUACUUGAUAGAGUUUAAACCUUGGAGUAAACCAAACAUCAUUCCCAUCACGAGUAUCAGCAACGAUUUCACUCUCAGCAACGUAGUCUCUCUAGCUUUUGACUACGCACUGUGUAAUGGACGGAUGUAAACAAUUUUUGCAUUGUGGUGUGAUCGGUGGUUAUGUUUUGGCCAACAGUUAAUCCCAUUGAGUCAUCUGUUUGGUUUCUAUAUAACAGUCAACUAGUGUUUCAUAUCUCGUUCAGCAAAUGAGUGUGAAACCGGACAUGAAUAUUAUUUCAGUGGAUCUUUGAAGUUUAGAAAAGCAUUAAGAAAUAAUAUAACAGCUUUUAAUUUGUUGCACAACCAACUAAAUUAUCUAAUCUGUUGAUUGUUAUUAUGAAAAAUGCAUGAUAUUAAUUAUUUCUAUUAAUGCAAUUUCGUAAAGCGCAAGUAAUUAACAACAUAAUUAGUAAGUGUAAUCUACUAUACACAUGAGAAUCGUAAUUGUUGCUUCUCACCCGUUCAACAUAUCUGCUGUGUUUAUUAUUGAUGUAACUGCGCUCUGUAAUGGUUGGAGUAUUUAAAUUUUUAUCAUGCUUUAGCGAAAUAAAAAACAGAACAAAAUAAUAAAUUCCUGACACAUUAGCUGUGUUCAUUUCUGAAGCUGUGUCGUGCUACAGACCAAGCCUAUAGAUUGUAGCCAUCACUGCCUGAAUAAAUUAGAAGUAACGAAACACAAUGAAACGGUUGCCAUGCUGCUAACUCACUUUCAACUGAUGAACGUUCAUUGAAUGCCAUCAAAAACACUGGAAACCUUCUGUUUUCCUUCCAGCCACACACCCCCACGGGCACCUCCCCCCCUCCCCCACUCACAUCCCUAACUUACACACACAUCCCCACCCUACACCCCAUAUUCCCCCACAUCACACCACUCCACACACUAGCACUGACCACUUCCCAGCACCCACACUUCACACUAUCAACCGCACACCCACACACUCACACAUUACAGAGGCACACAUUUACACACGCAUACAUCCACACGUCAAAGUCACUAGCCCCUAUCCACACACACACACACAUACACACACUUACACAUUCUCACUUACACACACAGACACGCACGCCCACCUUCGUUUUGAGAUCACCAGUACUUUAGUAUCUCCCCUUCCUUCUACCUCUCCUGUCAAACCAUUUUUCCCGAACUAGUCACCAUGCUUGAUCGCUAAAUUCACAAUUUUUUUCUUUAUUCUCCUCUGUUUAUUUUCUCUUAUUCCUCUCUGGUGAAGAGCGUAGGCUCGAAACGUAAAAGACGAUCGCACCUGCUUGUUGUUCAUACACCUGUCUUCGUCUUUUCUUUUCCGGUAAAUUUCAACUAUAUAUGUAUAUAUAUAUAUAUAUAUAUAUAUAUAUAUAUGUGUGUGUGUGUGUGUGUGUGUGUGUAUAAAGAAAUGGAACAAAAACGCAAAAGACGUUUUUAAUUAUAUAUACUUAUGUGUGCAAUUUGUGAAAUAGAGAAGUGAUGGUACUAUUUGGCAUAAAUAUGUGUGUGUGUUUGUGCGUAUGUAUUUAUGUAUGUACCCUCUAGUAUUGAGGGUUUAUUAAAUCGGAUAGACCAUAUUUGUAUAGAUGACGCAUUUAUGAGUAGUUCGAUAAAUAAAUUUAUCAUGAGUUACACAAAUCGAUGUAUCUGAUUCAGUAAAUACCAUAAUUAUAUUGCUACGUAUAUAUAUAUAUAUAUAUAUAGAGAGAGAGAGAGGGGGGGGGGGGAGAGAAUCUCACCGUUGUAGGUUAGGCAAAGUUACUCAAUUGGUGAUAUAAUCUCAAUAAAGAUCGAUAUUGUUUCUGUUGAUUUUUUUCUCCCUCCACAGUAAGAUAGCAUAAGAAAACAGUCGUUCUCAACAACCCACUCUAUUUAAUUAAGUUUUACUUGGCCUCACCGUGUUUAUCUAUCGGUUUCUUUUAUAGCAUUAUAUUAUAUUAUAUUAUAUUAUAGCAUUAAAAAAAACCUGCUGUUUGUUAUACACGGUUGUAAGUAACAAAGGUAUUGUGUAACACUAGCAAAGGUUUUAAUAAUUUGCUCAUGUAAGGCGGUGAGCUGGGAGAAGCGUUAACAUACGGGAAAAGAUUGCUUAGGGGCAUGUUGUCUCUCGUCACGUUGCGAGUUCAAAUUCUGCCGGUGUCAACUUUGCCCUUUCAUCCAUCCUCACGGGGUCGAUAAAACGAGUACCAGUUGAGGAGAGGGGAUCACUGUUAUCGACAAGCCCCCAACCCCGCAAUUGCUGCUCUUGUGCGACAAUUUCAAACCAGUAAUUUGCUGAUUUGAAUUCCGCGGUACUUUACGAGUUAAGGCGUCGACUGAAGUCGAUGAGUGGCCUAUUGCUAAUACUCUUUACUCUUUUACUUGUUUCAGUCAUUUGACUGCGGUCAUGCUGGAGCACUGCCUUUAGUCGAGCUACUCGACCCCAGGACUUAUUCUUUGUAAGCCUAGUACUUAUUCUAUCGGUCUUUUGCCGAACCGCUGAGUUACGGGGACGUAAACAUACCAACAUCGGUUGUCAAGCGAUGUUGGGGGAACAAAUUCAGACACACAAACGCACACACACACACACACACACACACACACAUAUAUAUAUACAUAUACAUAUAUACGACGGGCUUCUUUCAGUUUCCGUCUACCAAAUCCCCUCAAAAUGCUUUGCUCGGUCGGAGGCUAUAGUAGAAGACACUUGCCCAAGGUGCCACACAGUGGGACUGAACCCGGAACCAUGUGGUUGGUAAGCAAGCUACUUAUCACACAGCCAUUCCUGCGACUAUAUGACAGCCACUCCUGCGCCUAAUGUAGACAAUUAGACUUUAUUAGGCAAGUGGUCUAUUACCGUUAGACCAAAGAUUUUGGAGUAUCAAUAGAGACAGCUACAUACAUAUAUAAACAAUGUACACAUAUGCUUGCAUGUAUAUAUACACAUGUUCUUGCACAGAUAUUACUAGAGUGUAUACGUUUCUGUUUGUGUUCUGAA
rnacentral:lncRNA from 1 species